UCAACGGAUGACCGCAGAACGCUAGAUCGCGUUCGCGCAUGUUUCCUGCUAACAACAUAUAGUACCAGAGUUCCCGUCAUGCGACAUUUAUUUUAUUGAUUUUACAAAUUUCCUUGGGUGUAGCAAGAAAAUUGCUACCAAAAACAAUACAUGUGACUUUCCACACCCAAUGAAAUGUUCCAUUUCAAAGAGAAGAUCAUCAGAAUUUCCUGUCCCACACCUAAAAAGAUAUUCAAGAGAAAGUUGCAGAGGAGUGUAAAGAGGUGUUUGUAUUUUUCUCCUGCCAGCAGAAACAAGUUGGCCCGCUUACCAGCUUUACAAACGUCUACAUCCAGAUCACCGCUGAUUCCAUGAGGGAACUUUGUGUUGAGCAGUUGGUCGACGGUAAAUCUACGCCUGUGCCUUCGAUACUCGUUCUCCGUUGAAUGAGCGUGGACCGCCCGGGAAUCGGCGCAUCGGCACGCCAGCCAGAAGAUCGAAACCAAGAACAGCAGUCUCAUCUCGAUACCGUCGAUCGGUCGAAAACGACAACGAGCGGGGUGUCUCUUCUAUCGGCACCCUAGCCCAUCAAAGACCAAUCGUACUACCGUUUACACCGAUGCAUUUGCCACUGUUUUCUCUUUCACCCUGUCGUUCACCGACUCGAACUUCACCACUCGACUGGAAAUGUUGUGAUUAUUUCUCGAAACGAUAAUCACCGAUCACAUCUCCAGAUUUUUUUUAUAACAGACAAAUUAAUAAGAAAAACGAUGAAAUUUCUUCGAUUCGUUUAUUCUCGCUCGUAGAAUGAAACAGAUUUCAUCCGCGACGAAAUGUACGAAGGCGGGAAAACGAUAAAUGAAUAAUGAACACGAUGUUUCUAUAGAAGUAAGUAAGAUGAUAUUUGACGAAUAUUUAUACGCGGGAAUCGAGAAGAAACGGUGGAAUAAUCGUGCGUACGAACGCGGGUGAUACGUAAUCGUUACUGAAGUUCGCUCGGACGCCGAUCGAGGAACUUGACGAAGAUCCCGUGUACGUCAUCGAGCUGGUGAUAAGAUGAUCGCGAGGAAGGCAGCGGGAGCGCGGUCAAAGUUCGUGUUACAGAUUAGAGGGACUGUAUUGCCGGCGGCGAUCGUCCUUGCGUGGAGAACGUGGAGAACAGACUGAUCGUCCCUCGCGGCCGACACGACGCGUCGUUGGAAAGCGCGCGCUCGUACUGGCAUUAAGUCGAGAGAGGGAUAGAGGAGGAGGGGGAUACGUAUGUAUAUAUCUAGAGGGGAUGCCGGGAACAAGCAGAGUCUCCUCCCUCGCAAACCUGCACGCCACGAGGGUGGCCGAGACACUGACCGAGCUUCCGUGGUUUGCUCGACAGCGAACCCUAAAGAAUCCUCCACCGUCGAAAAACACUUGUGCCACGCUCUACAUAACGCUUUCCUUUCGCAAUCUCUCAUCUUCGAGCGAUCUAUUAGAAUUAUUCUUUUUAACAUAAUCUGUGUUAAAAUUAAAAUAACUGGCAAAAGUAUUACAAAACA